AAUGAACGUUGGCGGCUUGGAUUAGGCAUGCAAGUCGAGCGAGAAGGGUUUUGAAGCUUGCUUUAGAACCCGGAAAGCGGCGAAAGGGAGAGUAACGAGUAGUUAUCUACCCCAAGGCCCGGAAUAGCUGCGGGAAACUGCAGGUAAUGCCGGAUAAUAUCCCCGGAUCAAAGGUGUGAUUCCGCCUUGGGAGGAGACUGCUUUGUACUAGCUUGUUGGUAGGGUAAUGGCCUACCAAGGCUACGAUGCAUAGCGGGCGUGAGAGCGUGGCCCGUCGCACUGGGACUGAAACACUGCCCAGACACCUACGGGUGGCUGCAGUCGAGAAUCUUCGGCAAUGGGCGAAAGCCUGACCGAGCGAUGCCGCGUGCGGGAUGAAGGCCCUCGGGUUGUAAACCGCUGUCGUAGAGGAGAAAGGUCUCGUGAAGAGCGAGAUUUGAUCUAUUCUAGGAGGAAGUCGGGGCUAAGUUCGUGCCAGCCGCCGCAGUAACAC
rnacentral:rRNA from 1 species